GCCGUCUUAGCUCAGUAGGUAGAGCGCUUCAAUGGUAAUGAAGAGGUCAGCAGUUCGAUUCUGCUAUUCGGCACCA
rnacentral:tRNA from 1 species